AUUCUUUUACAGAGCCUCCAAAACCAGUGACUACAGUCCAGAAUAAAUCUUUUUCCCAGAAACCCGAUGCGAUGACCUUUGACUUGAUGACAUUUAGGCUUUACAUUGCAGCCCCCUCAAUUUCCUUUAUUCUCAUUUGCAUUCUUGCUGAAGCCAUAUACGAGAAGUGUAACAGCCGACAGACUUUAGCCUCAGUUCUGGAUCCUGUGUCUGUGUCUUUGUAACUGCUAAAACCUUUCUGGAGAAGU